AGUGGGACAAGGCUAGAACAAAGUAAUAUAGAUGGCAAGCUACCAGUUGUUCAAUCCACUGAAGAGAGAGGAGAUCACAUAUAACUGUGUCUAAAGUUCACCAAGCAAUGUAAUGUUCCAAAAGUUUUUUUUCAAGCUGAAGCAACCAAGGAAGAUGUCAAACAUUCAACAGAAUGCCUUGCUGAGCAGUUCUGGUACAUUCAGGAACAGAAUGAACAUGACAUUUGCUGAAACCCUGUGUAGAAAAGUACAACCAACGACCCUUCAGCAGAGAGAGAUUGGCACAAUGACAGAGUCUCACUCUUAGGGGUUCUCACCAAACAGAAGCUGCAGCACUGCCUUCAGACACAAAACAGCAGACAGCCACAAAACAAAGGAACAUCAUGGAAUCUGUUCAAAUAAAACAUCAAACACCCAAUAUGCAAAAAACAAAGAACAAACCGCGUGAACGGCAAAGGACAAGCAAAAGACACAGAAUAUAAAACAUCAAACCACAAAGUCAAUGAAGUUGUCUAGUUUAGUUCAGAUGGUUCCUGAUCUUCAGAGUAUCUCAAGGUUAAAUAAGAUUUUCCCCCUACAAAUGAGCAAUCCUUUGGUGUGUAAACCCCAUGCUGGAAGGAUAUUACCAUCUUAUCUUAUCCACUAUAACUUGACCUACAAGUAGCAUUCAUUGGUUAAAGCCAGCAAAGUUUCCAUCCUCUUGAACCUUUAUCCAACUGUUGCUGAUGCUUUUCAAGACUUGACUGAACCCAAGUUUAUCACUCAUCUGUUGGAAAUGGAAAAGGAAAACAGAUUUUCCUUAAACAUUAGUUUGAUAGUUUGCUGUGCAUCAACCUUUUAAAACAUCCAAGCAUGCUCUGUGCUAUUUGUAGACAAACAGCAACACUCCAAUAGCAUGACUUUUCCUGACACGUGCAAAGAUGCCCUGCUUUCAAAUCUGUUCCAAAUUAGACACCUCCAAGAGAUAUAAUCCCUUCUGUCCAAAGGACAAGCCCUAGGCUUCUUUGAAGAAAACCUUGCCCAAUUAUCACCAGCAUGUAACUUGUUGCAACAGAGGUUCCAACACACUACACCACUGCUACACUACGAUACGGAUUGCUUUUUGUUCCUUCCCGAGACUGCAUUUUGGCAUGUAGGAUCAUUUGGCUGUACUCAUACUUCCUGCAUAAAGACAGAGCCUAAAGACGAGGCUCCAUAGAUCAAGACAACUAAGAGGUGGUCGCAGGAGGCAGAGGAACAGCUACAGGAUUGCCUUGAGUUAGUGGACUGGGCCGUGUUCAAGAACUCAUCUGGGGACCUAAAUGACUAUACCAGGGUCAUAACAGACUUUAUUAACACAGCUGUAGAUGAGUGUCGUCCUCAUGAAAUUGUUCAGGUUUUACCCCAGUCAGAAGCCCUGGAUAAACCAUGAAAUCCAGAACCUGCAGAGAGCCAAAUCAAGGGCAUUCAAGUCUGGAGAUCAAGAACGCGACAAAAAGUGGAGGUGAGAUAUCUGAAAAGUCAUCUCAUGAGCCAAGUGGAGAUUCCAGACUAGACUGGAAUCAACGAGGGAUGCUCCACAGCCCUGCCAGGAAUGCGAUAACUUCUUACAAGGUUAAAUCUUGUGAUAUAGGGGACAGCAGAGCUUUGCUCCAGAUGAGCUCAAUGCCUUCUAUGCUUGCUUUGACCACCCGAACAGGGAGGAUCCUUCGACCCCCCCUCAUGUCUCCCGAUGAUCCUUUGGUCUCAGUAUCUGAAGAUGAUCUGCAGGCUGCCUUCAAGAGAGUAAACCCAAGGAAAGCAUCCGGUCCAGACAGAGCACCUGACCAAGUACUGAAGGUCUGUGCUGACCAACUGACUGGUGUGUUCAUGGACAUCUUCAAGUUCUUCUUCUGGCAGUGUGUGGUUCAUACCUGCUUCAAGUAGGCUUCGAUCAUAUCAAUGCCUAAGAAGAGCAUGGUAACCUGCAUCAAUGACUAUCACCGAGUGGCAUUUACAUCCACAGGGGUGAGGUGUUUUGAAAGGCUAGUCUUGAAGCAUAUCAGUUGUCUGAACGACAACUUGGAUCUGCUCCAACUUGCCUACCAAAGCAACAGGUCCACAGCAGAUGUCAUCUCAUUAUCUCUUCAUACAACCCUGGAACAUCUGGACAGCAAAGGUGCAUACAUCAGCUUUAUCAAUUACAGCUCAGCAUUUAAUACUAUCAUCCCCUCAAAACUAAUCAGUAAACUCCAAGACCCUGGUCUCAAUACCCCCUCGUGCAAUUGGAUCCUGGAUUUCCUCACUUGUAGACCCUAGUCAGUUCGAAUUGGCAAAAGCAUCUCCUCCAAAAUCUCUGUCAGCACAAGUGCACCAGCGGUAUGUGUGUGUAGUCCUCUACUUGCUUUAUACCUAUGCAAACACGAGAAAAUAUGCAGAUGCUGGAAAUUCAAGCAACAUACACAAAAUUAUGGUGGAACACAGCAGGCCAGGCAGCAUCUAUAGGAAGUACAGUCGGUGUUUUGGGCCAAGACCCUUCAUCAUGUGUUGCUUUAUAAUUAUGACUGGGUGGCUGAGUACAGCUCAAACACCAUAUACAAGUUUGCUGUUGACACCACUGUUGUGGGCUGUAUCAGGGGUGGUGAAGAAUAAGCAUGCAGGAGGGAGACUGAAAAUUUGGCUGAGUGGUGUAUUAACAAUAACCUCUCACUCCAUGUCAACAAGGCUACAGAGCUGAUUGUAGACUUCAAGAGAGGGAAACCAGAACCAGUACUAAUCAGAGAAUCAGAGGUGGAGAGGAUCAGUAACUUUAAAUUCCUGGGUGGCACUAUUUCAGAGGAGCUGUCCUGGACAUAUCAAAUAUGAUAUGUCUUUGAUUGCAAAGAAAGCACAACACCACCUCUGCUUCCUCAGGAGUCUGCAGAGAUUCAGCAUGUGACAAACCUAUAUAGUUGUGUGAUGAAACGUGUGUUAGCUGGCUGUGUUACAGCCUGGUAUGGGAACACCAAUGCCUUUGAUCAGGAAAUCCUACAAAAGGUAGUGGAUCUGGCCCAGUGCAUCAUGGGUACAUUCCUCCCAAACGUUGAGCACAUCUACAUGAAAUGUUACCAUAAAAAAGCGGCAUCCAUCAUCAAAGAUCCUCACAACCCAGGCCACACUCUCUUAUCUCAUCAGGUAGAAGGUUUCAAAGGUUUCAGAGGCACAAGAGUCUCAGGACUCACACCAAAAGGUUCAAGAACAGUUACUGCCUCUCAACCAUCAAGCUCUUGACCAUUCUAUUUCUGGUGUUCCCACAACCGAUGGUUUCACUUUAAGGACUCUUUAUCUUGUUAUUUCAUGUUUGUGUUUUUUAUUGCUAUUUAUUACAUCUGCAUAGUUUGUUGUUCAUUGAUCCUGUGUACAUUUACUAUUCGAUAGAUUUGCUAAAUAUGCCUAUAGGAAAGAGUCUCAGGUUGUAUGUGGUGACAUGUAUGUACGCUGAUAAUAAAUUUUACUUUGAA